CCUACGGGAGGCAGCAGUGGGGAAUAUUGCACAAUGGGGGAAACCCUGAUGCAGCGACGCCGCGUGAGUGAAGAAGUAUUUCGGUAUGUAAAGCUCUAUCAGCAGGGAAGUAGAAAGACGGUACCUGACUAAGAAGCCCCGGCUAACUACGUGCCAGCAGCCGCGGUAAUACGUAGGGGGCAAGCGUUAUCCGGAUUUACUGGGUGUAAAGGGAGCGUAGACGGCUGUGCAAGUCUGAAGUGAAAGCCCAGGGCUCAACCCUGGGACUGCUUGUGAAACUGUGGAGCUAGAGAGCUGGUGAGGUAAGUGGAAUGCCUAGUGUAGCGGUGAAAUGCGUAGAUAUUAGGAGGAACACCGGUGGCGAAGGCGGCUUGCUGAACUGUAACUGACACUGAGGCUCGAAAGCGUGGGGAGCAAACAGGAUUAGAUACCCGUGUAGUC
rnacentral:rRNA from 1 species